rnacentral:rRNA from 1 species
UGGCUCAGGACGAACGCUGGCGGCGUGCUUAACACAUGCAAGUCGAACGGUGAUCCCUCUUCGGGGGGUGAUCAGUGGCGAACGGGUGAGUAACACGUGAGCAACCUGCCCCUGGCUCUGGGACAACCACUGGAAACGGUGGCUAAUACCGGAUACGACCCGCGCAGGCAUCUGUUGUGGGUGGAAAGUUUUUCGGCUGGGGAUGGGCUCGCGGCCUAUCAGCUUGUUGGUGGGGUGAUGGCUCACCAAGGCGACGACGGGUAGCCGGCCUGAGAGGGCGACCGGCCACACUGGGACUGAGACACGGCCCAGACUCCUACGGGAGGCAGCAGUGGGGAAUAUUGCACAAUGGGCGCAAGCCUGAUGCAGCGACGCCGCGUGAGGGAUGACGGCCUUCGGGUUGUAAACCUCUUUCAGCUCCGAAGAAGCCGCGCUUUGUGGUGUGGUGACGGUAGGAGCAGAAGAAGCACCGGCUAACUACGUGCCAGCAGCCGCGGUAAUACGUAGGGUGCAAGCGUUGUCCGGAAUUAUUGGGCGUAAAGAGCUCGUAGGCGGUGUGUCGCGUCUGCUGUGAAAACUCAGGGCUCAACUCUGAGCUUGCAGUGGGUACGGGCACACUUGAGUGCUGUAGGGGAGACUGGAAUUCCUGGUGUAGCGGUGAAAUGCGCAGAUAUCAGGAGGAACACCGGUGGCGAAGGCGGGUCUCUGGGCAGUUACUGACGCUGAGGAGCGAAAGCAUGGGGAGCGAACAGGAUUAGAUACCCUGGUAGUCCAUGCCGUAAACGUUGGGCGCUAGGUGUGGGGUCCAUUCCACGGAUUCCGUGCCGCAGCUAACGCAUUAAGCGCCCCGCCUGGGGAGUACGGCCGCAAGGCUAAAACUCAAAGGAAUUGACGGGGGCCCGCACAAGCGGCGGAGCAUGCGGAUUAAUUCGAUGCAACGCGAAGAACCUUACCAAGGCUUGACAUGCGCGGUGGAAUCCCAGAGAUGGGGUGUCAUUUAGUUGGUCGCGUACAGGUGGUGCAUGGUUGUCGUCAGCUCGUGUCGUGAGAUGUUGGGUUAAGUCCCGCAACGAGCGCAACCCUCGUUCCAUGUUGCCAGCACUUCGGGUGGGGACUCAUGGGAGACUGCCGGGGUCAACUCGGAGGAAGGUGGGGAUGACGUCAAAUCAUCAUGCCCCUUAUGUCUUGGGCUUCACGCAUGCUACAAUGGCCAGUACAGAGGGCUGCGAUACCGUGAGGUGGAGCGAAUCCCAAAAAGCUGGUCUCAGUUCGGAUCGGGGUCUGCAACUCGACCCCGUGAAGUCGGAGUCGCUAGUAAUCGCAGAUCAGCAACGCUGCGGUGAAUACGUUCCCGGGCCUUGUACACACCGCCCGUCACGUCAUGAAAGUCGGUAACACCCGAAGCCGGUGGCCCAACCCUUGUGGGGGGAGCUGUCGAAGGUGGGACUGGCGAUUGGGACGAAGUCGUAACAAGGUAGCCGUACCGGA